rnacentral:rRNA from 1 species
UACAGAGGUCCCAAGCGUUGUUCGGAUUCAUUGGGCGUAAAGGGUGCGUAGAUGGCGCCGUAAGUCAGGUGUGAAAUCUCGGGGCUUAACUCCGAAACUGCAUUUGAUACUGCGGUGCUUGAGGACUGGAGAGGAGACUGGAAUUUACGGUGUAGCAGUGAAAUGCGUAGAGAUCGUAAGGAAGACCAGUGGCGAAGGCGGGUCUCUGGACAGUUCCUGACACUGAGGCACGAAGGCCAGGGGAGCAAACGGG